GAUGAACGCUGGCGGCGUGCCUAAUACAUGCAAGUCGAGCGAACUUUUGGGAGCUUGCUCCCAAAAGUUAGCGGCGGACGGGUGAGUAACACGUGGGUAACCUGCCUGUAAUACUGGGAUAACUUCGGGAAACCGGAGCUAAUACCGGAUAACAUUGAAGCCCACAUUGCCUUCAAUUAAAAUUUGGCUUUUAGCUACCACUUACAGAUGGACCCGCGGCGCAUUAGCUAGUUGGUGAGGUAACGGCUCACCAAGGCGACGAUGCGUAGCCGACCUGAGAGGGUGGUCGGCCACAAUGGGACUGAGACACGGCCCAGAAUCCUACGGGAGGCAGCAGUAGGGAAUCUUUCGCAAUGGACGAAAGUCUGGCGGAGCAACGCCGGGUGAGGGAAGAAGGCCUUCGGGUCGUAAAGCUCUGUUGUUAGGGAAGAAAAAGUAUCGUUCGAAUAGGGCGGUACCUUGACGGUACCUAACGAGAAAGCAACGGCUAACUACGUG
rnacentral:rRNA from 1 species